UAUUAACAGAGUCCUCUGCAUUAAAACCAGUACUCAGGAAUCUUCUGUGCAGCAGAGGGAACCUAAGGGUUACUGGUGUAUGCAGUAACUGUUUUACGGGCACCGCUACUUGUGGCAGAGGAGCAAAUGAAAGAGUAAAGAGGAGGAAAAAAAGACAAGGCAUUACUCCACGAGAACAGUGAAGAAACACCUUCCAAACACCUUGUUCAUCUCCAUGGGAAGGGAGGCUUCAGAUCGGCAGAAGAAAUGUGAGAAAAUCUCCUGUUUAAAAUUACAUGGACAGACGAACUCCGCCGGCGACUUCCAUGACAUGAAUUUACCGCUGGAUUGUAUGAAGGUUUCUGCAUCUGUUGCAUUUUUAAUUGCCUUGCCGUUCAAGUGGAAUACCCCCACUGCUGGGCUUCACCCCACAGCCUCAGCACCUCCCUUCUGUGGGAACAAGGGGCACAGCACCGGGCCUACGGGAGCAGUAUGGAAAAUGCAAAGCUUUGCAGGGACUUCACUGAGCAAUACGGCACGCACAGUGCUGAGCACGCUCGCAAUUUACUGCCUGAGGAGGAGAAUCUACGCAGAGAAUCCACACAGAGAAAAGGGGAAGGUCACGAAAAUCGCGUUUUUAUGUAGUUUGGAAGUCCCACGCACCUUUCGUUGCUUGAACUUGUCAAUGUUCACCAUAUGGAAAUUAUUAACUUAAUGCCGGUGUUCUAAAUACUGCCCAGGAAUGCUUUUUAGAAUGGGAUUUUUAUUCUUUGCGUCAAGAAAUACCAAACUACCACACAAAUACCGUGACUGGGGAACCUGUGGAACCGGCCCACGUCCCACCAGAGCGAGGAGCUCCUCAUUGGCACAGCCGUGUGUGUCCGGAGUAACCCGGCGCAGAGCGCGGUGGCACCGACAAGGCGCAUAGGGGAGAUAGAAUCGUAGCAUCAUACAAUUGCUCCAGUUGAAAAUGACCUUAAAGAUCAUCGAGUCCAACCGCAACCUGACCAUCCUACUCUAACAACCCUCCGCUAAAUCACGGCCCUGAGCAAACUGAGCAUUGAGAUGCUGCUGUGUGGAGAUCAGAAGGCAGACGUUCUGGACACCAUCGGGGCGUUAAGGCACUGUGCAUUUUUCCAAGCGUGCCCUCCCUGCCCGCACGUCCCGGCAUUUUUUUCUCUGACUUAGAACGAAAUUUGCCCGUCCCGAAUCCAUCCCACUCGGGCAUUCAUGCUGAAAGCAGCAACAAUUGUCACUGACCUUUAACACGCCUGCUAUUCAAAUUAGUGCAGAUCAUUAAUCACACAUAGCUUACAUUUUAUGAUUCGUGUAUCCUUCAUUACCAACUUUCCCCCUCUCUCGCUCCCGCCCCUUUCCUUUAUCCCAAGGCUGCUGGCAGCCGGCCCGACCCCCCCGCGCCCCUCCGCC
rnacentral:lncRNA from 1 species